rnacentral:rRNA from 1 species
CUUUACUGUAGCUUUGUAUUGGACUUUGAACAGAUCUGUGUAGGAUAGGUGGGAGGCUUUGAAGUGAGGAUGCUAGUUCUCAUGGAGCCAACGUUGAAAUACCACCCUGGUGUGUUUGAGGUUCUAACCUUGGUCCAUUAUCUGGAUCGGGGACAGUGCAUGGUAGGCAGUUUGACUGGGGCGGUCUCCUCCCAAAGCGUAACGGAGGAGUUCGAAGGUACGCUAGUUACGGUCGGACAUCGUGACGAUAGUGCAAUGGCAUAAGCGUGCUUAACUGCGAGACUGACAAGUCGAGCAGAUGCGAAAGCAGGACAUAGUGAUCCGGUGGUUCUGUAUGGAAGGGCCAUCGCUCAACGGAUAAAAGGUA